rnacentral:lncRNA from 10 species
AAUUUAUUUAGGCUGUUUCCAAAAGUCAAAUUCCUUCUCAAAGGAUGGUGAAUCGCCAGAGUGAAGGUACAAAUCUCACUGUAGAUGACAUCUAAAUAUUUUAGUCUCAUCCUGUCAUAGCGAUUCCAUCCCUGUCCCUUACCCAGACCCCCCAAAUUACUUAGAUUUAAAGAUUUCAGUUCAAGCCCCAGCUCUGUCACUUGUUAUUGGUUUAAAUGUGGGCAAACAUUUGAGCUGUCUGAGCCUUAGUUUUCUCAUCUGUGAUACAGAGAAAAUAAGAACCAAUAUAUUUUGAUCAUUGUGCUAUUUUUUAAUUAAUUAAUUUUCAACUGAAAAUUAAAAUUUUUAUUAGUAAUAUUAUUUUUCAUUGACAUAUCAUAAUUACAUACAGUUAUGGGAUACAAUGCGAUGUUUCAAUAUAUGUACAUUUUGUGGAAUGAUAAAUCAUGCCAAAUAACAUAUCCAUCACCUCACUUACCUAUCAUUUUUAUGGUGAUACAUUUGAAAUUUACUCAGUUAUUUUGAAAUAUAGAAUACAUUAUUAUUGACUAUAAUCAAUAGUGCAAUAGAUCUCAAAACCUAUUCCUCCUGUCUGUCGAAAUUUUGUAUUUUUUCUUUUUUUUUUUUUUUGUUCAAACUUUGUAUUUUGUGAUCAACAUCUCCCAAUUUCCUCCUUCUCCACCUCCCUAGCCUCUGGUAAUCAGCAUUCUAGUUUCUACUUUUGUGAGUUUGACUUUUUUAGAUUCCACAUAUAAGUGAGGUCAGAGGUAUUUGUCUUUCUGUACCUGGCUUAUUUCGCUUAGCAUAAUGUCCUCCAGAUUUAUCCACGUUAUCACAAAUGACAGAAUUUCUCCCUGUUUAGGUGGAAUAGUAUUCUAUUGUUCAUAUAUACCACAUUUUCUUCAUCCAUCUCUGUUGAUGAACACAGGUUGAUUGUAUAUUUGGGAUUCUGAAGAAUGUUGUAAUGAACGUGAGAGCACAGAUAUCCAUUCAACAUAUUGAUUUCAGUGAUCCACACUCACUGGAUUGAUCCACGCUCCUACAAACAUGCCCAUGAAACGUUUUUGACCUUAACAGUUUCUUCUCAAUUCUCUUUUAAUGUAGCGUAAGAAAACCCUGGAGGAGAGUGCUGAGGAUGAGAUUUAUAGAGGAGGCUAGCGCUCCCUCUAGGGGCCAAAACAAAGUAUCCUCCACAAUGUAGAACUGGCAGUGAAGGCAAAUUUUUCUUUCUUUCUUUUUUUAAAAAUAGAGACCGAGUCUUGCUCUGCCACCCAGGCUGGAGUGCAGUGGCACAAUCAUACUCCCUGCAACCUCAAACUCCUGGGAAUAGCUAGGACUAAAGGCACACACCACCAUGACUAGCUAAUUUUUUAAUUUUUUUGGUAGAGAUGGUGUCUCACUGUGUUGCCCAGGCUGGUGUCGAACUCUUGGCCUCAAGCAAUUCUCCCACUUCAGCCUCCCAAAAUGUUGGGAUUACAGGUGUGAGCCAAUGCACCUGAAAAUUUCAUUUUUAAGAAAACAUUUGUUGAUGUUAUAAGAUAUGGCAACAUCACCAGAAGGACCUCAGAGUGACAGAUGUAACAACACUCCUUUGAUCACACUGUCAUUCAGCAAACAUUAAGCAACUAUUACAUACCAGGCACUGUGUAAAGUAUAGGAUACUUGGAUGUUGAAGUUGAUGUUGCUUUUUUAAAAAUCAGUCUUAGGGUGUACAGUGUGUAGUUGCUGUCCUUCUCUACAUAUUGUACAUUAAAUUUUAACGGGAUGUUAGAAUUAAAUUGAACCUCAAAAGGCAUCUAGUUCUGCCGCCAAGAUAUUUCUGAAAUUCUCCAAUUACAUAAAUCUUUCUAAUGAUCAAGAUCAUGACAGAAUUUGGGGGGUUUUGUUAUUAAAUUUUUAAAUACAUACAUGUUUAAAGUUUUUUUGCAAUCUACUUUCUAAGGUAGUCUUAAGAGGCCGGGCACGGUGGCUCACACCUGUAAUCCCAGCACUUUGGGAGGCCGAGACAGGAGGAUCACGAGGUCAGGAGAUCGAGACCGUCCUGGCUAACACAGUGAAACUCCAUCUCUACUGAAAAUACAAAAAAAUUAGCCAGGCGUGGUGGCAGGCGCCUGUAGUACCAGCUACUCGG